AAAUAGAAAGAGAGGUGAUUGAAGGUAUAGGGGAGGUGGGGAGGACAAACCAACAACCAGACCUAGCAACUAUACCUUGAUGCUGCUGAAAAAUAGAGGAAUUACAAACAGGUUCUCUUCUGACUACAUUUCUUCUAUUUCCAUAUUGGUAUAUCUCGUUACAUUUUUUGGAACAGCUCUUCAUAAUCAUCUAUAUAAGCCAAACAUCAUGACACAAUGGGGAAGAACAUCUCUCUUCUUAUGGAUGAAGCAAGGGGAAAGGCAUAUAUUCUGAUCUCAGUGAUGAAAGCAGGCCAUUUGUAAUCAUCUGCCUAUAGUUUGCUGCAUUGUGUUACCAGUGGGUGUACAUAAUCCUUCACGAUGGGCACUUUAUCGACCUAUGCGACUUUUCACAAGAGUUGGCAAAUACUUUCCCUUUCCAUUCCUUCUGGAAACUAUUUUCACCAGUUUUUCUUUUUACAUAUUAUGUGUAUCGUGAUUGUGAAAAAGCCUUAUGCAUCCAACUCCAGGAAAGAGAACUGUGCUCUUCAUCUGGCACCCAGAUCUCGCUGUAUUGAUUUUGAUUAAAGCUGAUCUGAAGCUUA